ACUGAUAUAGCCUAGUGGUUAGGGUGUAGGACUGUAACGCAGGCGACCAGGGUCCGAGGCCCCGGUCAGUC